rnacentral:rRNA from 1 species
GACGAACGCUGGCGGCGUGCUUAACACAUGCAAGUCGAACGGAAAGGCACUGCUUUUGUGGGGUGCUCGAGUGGCGAACGGGUGAGUAACACGUGAGUAACCUGCCCUUGACUUUGGGAUAACUUCAGGAAACUGGGGCUAAUACCGGAUAGGAGCUCCUGCUGCAUGGUGGGGGUUGGAAAGUUUCGGCGGUUGGGGAUGGACUCGCGGGUUAUCAGCUUGUUGGUGGGGUAGUGGCUUACCAAGGCUUUGACGGGUAGCCGGCCUGAGAGGGUGACCGGCCACAUUGGGCCUGAGAUACGGCCCAGUCUCCUACGGGAGGCAGCAGUGGGGAAUAUUGCACAAUGGGCGGAAGCCUGAUGCAGCAACGCCGCGUUCGGGAUGACGGCCUUCUGGUUGUAAACCGCUUUCGCCUGUGACGAAGCGUGAGUGACGGUAAUGGGUAAAGAAGCACCGGCUAACUACGUG